rnacentral:lncRNA from 1 species
CCUUGUUAGUUAAUUUUCUUUACCAAUGAGUAAUAGUAUGUUAAACUCAAAGGGGUUUCUUUUUUUCGGCCUUCUCCUUUUUGUUUUCCUAUCUUUCCAAGUCUUGGCUCAUCAUGAAGAGAACAAUGCUAAUCAUUUGAGUGGGUUACUUUCUUUUUUAGCUUAUUUCAUGCCUAAAAAUAGUUAUGGUUUUCACGUUUUUUCCAAUACACACAAAAUAUGAACAAAAUAUUUGACCUAAUUUAGGUUUUUGUUAAUGGAUCUUACACAUUGUUAUCCCAUGAUCAACUCCACUUUGUUUUCUUUUGCUAAUUAGUGUGUAGAUCUUUGGUUGUACAUUUUAGGUUCUUUGUGAUUGUUGCACUUGUUUCUUUGUUCUUCUUGGGUUAGCACCCCUUAUGCGUUUAUCCAAUUUCUUGCUUAUAAAAAAAUAAUAUUGAUAUUGGGUCUAGCGUUAGUUAGCACAUAUAUGAGCAUAACAUGACCAUAUGUUAACCUUUUCCAGAUUUUAGGUAGAUAUAAUGUAUCACGUUUAUUAUUUUUUUAUCGGCAAUAAAGUUUAUUAACAAAAAGAAAGAAAAUUCAUAGAACAAGUGAUACUUUCAUUCAUAUAUAGUUUUUAGAUAACUAAUAGAAAUUAAAGAUAGUUUGAACCCAUUAUGUCAUUUUAUGCAUACAACAAUAUCAAACUUAAUGACAUUUUUAAAAUAUAGUUAUAAUAUCAUUUUAUUUUCAGGAUUUUAAUUAGUGUACAACAAAAAUUAAUUUUAUAUGUUAUUCUAGAUUGAUGCUACCUUGUUUUAGUCUAUUUGAGAUUUUAAGUAUAUGGCUUAUAUUGUUCCAUGUUUAUCAUUAGAUAGAUGAUGAUUAUGAUUAUCAUUGUGCUGAUGAGCAAUAACAUUGAUGAUAAAUAUAGUGACAGUGUCAUUUCACCUAAAUUAUGUUCAACAUUGUUAAUGGAUAUAUAUAUCUUAUGGAUAUUUUAUAUGUGACUUUUAUAAAUGGUAUUUUAUAUUUUUGUGAUCGGCAAAUAUAAAUUUUAUUAAAAAAAUGUACCAAUGGUAUUAGAAGAUUACAAUUGAUACAAAGAAAGAAAAAGAAAAAGGAGGAAAGAAGAAUAGGAAGUAUGCUUAAGACAAUUCAAUAGAUUUACAAGCUAAUCAUCAUAAAUCAUAGGUUUUUAUGAGAUUUUUCCAUUGAUUCAAAGUCAUGUCUUUAUCUUUGUAGACUUAAGAGUAUCCUUGAUAGAAGUCCAUUGGGAGUUAUAGUUGGAAAUUAAAAUUAUAGUUUCAUUUUAUUUUAUUUUAAAUUAGUCUACAAUUAUAAUAAUAUUUUGUUGGUAAUGUUUUUGGGUACAUCAAUUAUAAUAAAUAUGUUUUAUCUGUUUAACUUGCAAUUAUUAUUCUAAAUUAAUCAAACUUUGUUUACAUUUAUUGCAUAUUAUAUAAAUAUACAGAUGGAUGAAUAUCACAUCUUCUUUCCGAAAAAGUAUACUACUAUAUAUAUUAUUUCCAGUAAUUAGUCAGAAAAUCAAUUAAUUAUUAUACUUUUAACUUGAUUAAUUUUUUUUUGACGAACCAUAGAAAAUUGUAAAUGAAUUGAUACAAUUUUUGAGAUAAAUAAUGUAUUCCUUAUUUAUCUAACACAUUUAUUAUAUAUUCUCUUACAUAAUAAUGAAUUAGAUGAUGAUUGCAAUUAUGAUUAUGUUGAUUAUCAUUUGAAUAAUUAUUUAGGUAUUGGUGGUCCAGAUGAUGACGAUCCUAGAGAUCAUAAUAGUCCCAAUCUUCUAGUUUCACAAAAACACAUACCUUCAAUUCGAUAUGAAUGGAUGAUGG